CAGGGAAAAGCUCACAGUUGGAACCUAGCUGCCUUAGGUAGUUCGGAUUGUAAACUGAAAAAGUGUUAUCCAGGCUAGCCGAGUAAAAAAGUUCCUUGGAAUAGGACAUCAUGGAGGGUGAGAAUCCCGUCUUUGGCUUGAGCAUAGUCUUUUGUGUUGCGCUUUAACGAGUCAGGUUGUUUGGGAAUGCAGCCUAAAGUGGGAGGUAAAUCCCUCCUAAAGCUAAAUAUUGGCGAGAGACCGAUAGCAAACAAGUACCGUGAGGGAAAGAUGAAAAGAACUUUGAAAAGAGAGUUAAACAGUAUGUGAAAUUGCUAAAAGGGAAGCGUUUGAAGACAGACUAGCUUGGUUAUAAUCAGCCUGGUUUUUACUUGGUGUACUUGUAGCCUAUGCUUGCCAACAGCAGUUUGACUUGACUGAAAAAACUAGUAGUAAGGUGGCUCUUCGGAGUGUUAUAGACUAUUAGAAAAUCAGUUGGGUUGGACUGAGGAAUGCAAUGCAGCUUGCCUUGGGGUGAACCAGAUUGAAUAGGAACCAUUGUUCUUUGAAGGUUUGGGUAGCUCUUCGAACUGUAUUUAGGUUGUUGGCUUAAUGUCUUUAAACG
rnacentral:rRNA from 1 species